rnacentral:lncRNA from 1 species
UCUUCUGUAUGUAAAGAGAAGACUUGAUCUUCAAACUUCAAUCUGUGUCCUAGUUCUAUCCAUUAGGAUAAGCAGACCUGUUUUUUGUAGUAGUUCAGAACUGAGCUCCUUUUCAUCAAAGUUCCCAUUGUUCAUCUUUUCAGAAACAUGUCCUUGUAUAAAACAUUAGACUAAGAGGUCCAGGAGGGUGGGCCUUGAGGUGGUGAACAGUGGUCACUCAGUGCUUUGUGUGGUGCCUAGUACAUGAUAGGUACCCCGUGAAUACUCGCUGCCAUGGUCUAAUGAACAGAAGCCUUUGUGUAGGUUAUGUGGCUCUAAUCAGGGGUUUCCAAUAGUGCUGUGGUUGGAUCUUGACUAUCCCACCUUUAGAGCUUUUCUGGUCUUUGACCUCAGGGUGACAUUGUUUGAGAGUUGGUUGAGCCUUUGGAGCCUAGUAGGAGGUCCUUAGGUCAUUGAGGGGUGUGGCCUCAAGGCAGAUUAUGAGACCCUGGCUCCUUCCUCUUUGCUCACUGACUCAUAAUGUAAACAAUUUUACUCUGCCAAGUCCUCCUGCUAUGCCACAGGCCCUUAACAAUGGGAACAGUCAUUUAUGGACUGGUACUUCCAAAACUGUGAGCUAAAAUAAACCUUUUCUGUUUAUAAGCUAAUUAUCUCAAGUAUUUUGUUUUAUUGACAGAAAGGUGUUGAAUGCAAACAUUUUGUAGUGAAGGGCUCACCUUGGUAUGGGAGGGAAGUAUGUGAUUAUGUGUGUUUUAGUGAGAAUUCCUCACAUUGAGUACCUGCUUUGUGUUCUGCUUGUGGUAGUUGCUUAUAUGGUCUCAUUUGAUCCUCAUAACUUUGAGGAAGUGGUUAGUUGACAUUGUUUUAGCUCCACUUUGUAUAUGAGGAAACUGAGGCUACAGAUAGGUUAAUUCAGUGGUAAUUCAGGAUUGUAGUCUUGAACCCUAUGAAGUCCUAAGAUAUGGACUUUUUUGUGUGUGUGGUGAGGAGGUACCAGGGAUUGAACUUCCCCAGCCCUAUUUUGUAUUUUAUUUAGACACAGGGUCUUGUUGAGUUGUUUAGGGCCAUGCUAGGUUGCUGAGGCUGGCUUUGAACUUGAGAUUCACCUGCCUCAGCGUCGUGAGCUGCUGGGAUUACCUGUUUGCCACCUUACCUGCCUUUUGCCACCUCUUGAAAACAGCCAGUGAUAAGCUAUCAGAGCACACUUCUCAUCCCCCCAGAAAUUUUCUUAUCUUUCAUAUGCCCCCAGGUUGUUAUAGCUCUGUCAGGGAGGAGGUGGCAUGGGUGCUUGUGUACUGUGUUCUGUGUACAGGGCAGGGGAUGUAGCUCAGUGGUGAAAACACCUUUAGGUCAAUCCCCAGUGCCCACUGCUGUUCUCCAAAGUGAGUUCUUUGUACAGGCUAAGUGCCCAGAAUGUUUAAUGUGUUCAUUGAAUAAAAUCUACAAAGUAUACUAAUCAUAUAAGAAUACACUAAUCAUAUUCAUGGCUCAGCUGCCAUGAAUUUCCCUCUGCAAGAAUACCUCAAAAUUUUUUUUUAGUUGUA